CGUGGGAUGUAGAAGGAAUUUUGGAUGGUUGAGAUGAGAUUGUGGGGUUUUUGGACGGUUGUGAUGAGAUUGUGAGAUAUUGGUGGUUAGGAUGGGAUUGCGAAAAUAUUGCGGAUUAGUCCUUUCCCUUUGAUCAUAUUACACCUUAAUAAAAAUAUUAUAUGAUUAAGGUAGGGCAUUUUGUAAAUAUAUAAAGGGAAUAGACUAAUAUGCUA
rnacentral:lncRNA from 1 species